AACAACAAUUCGGCCACGCCUUAUGUUCACGAAAACAAUACCAACAAUGUAAGCUCAAACUUAUAUUUAGACUCAAGAGUGUUAGAGAUGAAGAAAACUAACACUAGAAACAACAAAACAAGUAAAAAUCUCGGCCAAGACACAACAAUAACACAAUUUCGGCCAAGAACAAAAAAUGGACAGAUUUGCUUCCUUUUGAUUUUUCAGUUUUCUAACACUUUUUUUUUUGAAUUUUCUAUCAAGCAAGCCCAAGA
rnacentral:lncRNA from 1 species